rnacentral:rRNA from 1 species
GAUUCAUCAGAUUGUGCUGACUACGUCCCUGCCCUUUGUACACACCGCCCGUCGCUCCUACCGAUUGAAAGAUAUGAUGAAUUGUUUGGACAAGAAAAUAGAAAUUUUAUUUUUAUUUUUUUGGAAGGACCGUAAAUCCUAUCUUUUAAAGGAAGGAGAAGUCGUAACAAGGUUUCCGUAGGUGAACCUGCGGAAGGAUCAUUA